GCCGUGGUGGUGUAGUCUGGCCUAUCAUGAAAGCCUGUCGAGCUUUCGACCCGGGUUCGAAUCCCGGCCACGGCG
rnacentral:tRNA from 1 species